AUGAACACUUCUGUGAAAGUCAUGAGAGGGCUAGGUGUAGAGCAGCAAUCAUCAUGUGCAGAGGUUGCAAGAGGAGUCGGUGAAGAGCGACCACCACAACCUACGGAAGGCGCCAGAGGGACGAGUAACAGGUGGACGAGCACCAUGCAUGGAGGAAAGGCACAUAUGAGAGAUGGGCUCAAUGUAAGGAACACCAUCAAGAGUCUACGGGCCGAGAUUCCCAAAAAAAAGAGUCAGUGGACCGCGAGGGAGAUGUGUACCCAACUAAAACAUCAUACAUGUGUUUUUACUUUUUUUACAUGA
rnacentral:rRNA from 1 species